GUGGAUAUGGCUCAGUUGGUAGAGUACUUGCCUUGUUUGCACAAGGCCCUGGGUUUAAUCCCCAGCACCACA
rnacentral:tRNA from 1 species